rnacentral:rRNA from 1 species
CAGCCGCCGCGGUAAUACGUAGGGUGCGAGCGUUAAUCGGAAUUACUGGGCGUAAGGCGUGCGCAGGCGGUUGUGUAAGACAGGUGUGAAAUCCCCGGGCUUAACCUGGGAACUGCGCUUGUGACUGCACAGCUAGAGUAUGGCAGAGGGGGGUGGAAUUCCACGUGUAGCAGCGAAAUGCGUAGAGAUGUGGAGGAAUACCGAUGGCGAAGGCAGCCCCCUGGGCCAAUACUGACGCUCAUGCACGAAAGCGUGGGGAGCAAACAGGAUUAGAUACCCCAGUAGUCCCUGUCUCUUAUAC